UCAAAAACAUGUCUUUUUGAAAAUAAUUUAAAGUCUAAUGUGCCCACUGAUAAAAUUAUUAAAGGGCUGCAGUAUAUUGACUGUACAAAGGUAGCAUAAUCAUUAGUCUUUUAAUUGAAGACUUGUAUGAAAGAUUUGAUGAAAUAUAUACUGUCUCUAAUUUAUUUAUAAAAUUUAAUUUUUUAGUUAAAAAGCUAAAAUAAUGUUAAAAGACGAGAAGACCCUAUAAAGUUUUAUAAUUUAUUUAUUUAAUAUUAAAUAUAUAAUUUAAUAUAUAUAUAUAUAUAUAUAUAUAAUAAUUAAUAUAAGUUAUUUUAUUGGGGUGAUAAAAAAAUUUAAUUAACUUUUUUUAUAAUUUUACAUAGAUAUGUGAAAUAUUGAUCCAUUAUUAGUGAUUAAAAGAAAAAAUUUCUUUAGGGAUAACAGCGUAAUAUUUUUUUUUAGUACAAAUAAAAAAAAAAGUUUGCGACCUCGAUGUGGGAUUAAAAUAAAAUUUAAAUGCAAAAGUUUAAAAUUUUGAUCUGUUCGAACAUUAAAAUCUCACAUGAUCUGAGCU
rnacentral:rRNA from 1 species